rnacentral:rRNA from 1 species
CGGGAUUGCCUUAGUAACGGCGAGUGAAGCGGCAAAAGCUCAAAUUUGAAAUCUGGCGUCUUCGACGUCCGAGUUGUAAUUUGAAGAAGGCGACUUUGUAGCUGGUCCUUGUCUAUGUUCCUUGGAACAGGACGUCAUAGAGGGUGAGAAUCCCGUGUGGCGAGGAUCCCAGUUAUUUGUAAAGUGCUUUCGACGAGUCGAGUUGUUUGGGAAUGCAGCUCUAAGUGGGUGGUAAAUUCCAUCUAAAGCUAAAUAUUGGCGAGAGACCGAUAGCGAACAAGUACAGUGAUGGAAAGAUGAAAAGAACUUUGAAAAGAGAGUGAAAAAGUACGUGAAAUUGUUGAAAGGGAAGGGCAUUUGAUCAGACAUGGCGUUUGCUUCGGCUUUCGCUGGGCCAGCAUCAGUUUUAGCGGUUGGAUAAAUCCUCGGGAAUGUGGCUCUGCUUCGGUAGAGUGUUAUAGCCCGUGGGAAUACAGCCAGCUGGGACUGAGGAUUGCGACUUUUGUCAAGGAUGCUGGCGUAAUGGUUAAAUGCCGCCCGUCUUGAAACACGGACCUCCUGUGUGAAGUGAU